GGACGCGAGGCGGGCGCUCCGCAAGGCUCCUCGCCUGCGGCCGCUGCUCCCGCCGGCGCCUGGGCUGCGGCGCUCCGGCCCUGGCCCCGUGGCGUCCCGCGCACCUCCAGCCCGGCGCCCAGGCCAGAUCCCUGCCGUGCCCAGGACGCCCUCCGCCUCUGAUCGCCCGGCUUGCGCCCCGGGCCACGGAGGCCGAGCAGCAGUCGCGGCGGAGGAUGCCCCGGCGAGCCUGAGUCCGGACCCGAAGAUGCAGCCGGCGCGGGGCGCUGCAGUCGCGGCUCCUGGCGCAGCCCCGACCAGCAGGUGGUCCUGGCAUCUGCGUGGGUUGGCCCUGAGCAGUACCUCUCCGUCCCCUGCUGGGCAUCGACAUCCAUUUCUUCCCACAGAGACUUUAUUUUGGAUCGUGCUGGGCUGGCACCGAGCUAGGCAGUCCUGGCUCUUGUUCAGACCUG
rnacentral:lncRNA from 1 species